GGUGAAGGGCGGCGGUUUGGGGAGGUGGCCCGGCACUUGCGAGAGCGCGAGGGGUGGGGACUGUGGUCUCCGAGUUAAUCAUGAGGUUUCCGAGAGGUUCGGUUCAACCUGCCUUCUCCCAGGACUUUUGCCUUGUCCCCGAAUCGCCACAUUUAGACAGACGAGCUCCACCCCCAUCCCGGAGAUCCCCGAUCUCUGACCCGCCAGUAGGGGAUUUGGAACCGUAUGCGGCGAGUGCAUUGGUGUCCACGCAGGCGAAGGAAGAAGAAAGAAUGUGCAUGUUGCCACAAAUAGCAUCCCUUGGCAGACUUGAGACUGGCAGUGCGACUGGAGGACGAUAGACAUCAUUCCCAUGGCCCUUGGUGAAGGUGUGUCUGUCUGCUGGAGUUAGAGACAGUUGUGAGCUGCAUCAUGUGGAAGAUGGAUGUCCUCUGGAAGAGCUGCAAGUGCUCUUAGCCGC
rnacentral:lncRNA from 1 species